GAACACGGCUGUAACUGCCACAGCACAAGCCAUCUCUCUCUCCCUGGGAUUCAUAGGCCUCUUGCUGACAGCUGCUGGGGGACACACGGAGGUGGCGCUGUCAGCAUGAGUUAGAGGUCCAUGGAGAUGCAGUCGUGUCCUAGGUUACCAGCACACACACUGACAGUAGUCAUGGCAACAGGAGGAUGUCACACGGAGGUACCCCGCUGCUGUGUGCAGUACCAUGACAAUGGGAUGACAUCACCACAGUGUGCCCCGGUACACCAGCCAGCCAGAGUCCCAUACGGCACACAGGUGGAAGGAGUUAUGCUGUUUUUUCAGUCGGCGCCAGGUUCCAAUGGUAACCCUGUCAAGCUCCGUGACUGGAAGUCACAGUUGUUCCUGGACUUCCGGUCUUGGCGGUGGGGGAGAGUGGCUGGCUGGGGCCGACUGUGAGGACACUUACAGACUUUAAAAAGGUCCUCUAGUCGAUUUUGCCCUAGCUUGAUAUGACGGAGCUGACUGGCAUUGUGUAAUCUGUCAUUUAUGACAGGGAAGCCACAAGUUAUCAGACUCCCUUUUAUAGUGGAACCAGGAAAGCUGUGAUAGUAUGGUGCCCCCUGCAGUUGCGGUAACCAGCCUAGGCUAUGAACUCUGAUGCUUUGAUCACUAUGGUGGGCACAUCCUGUAUAUAAAUAUAUUUUUACACACAGCAAAGAAUGACAGCUAGAACAAUUCAAAGUUGCUGAUCUAAAGAUGGAAGUGCAUCUGAAAUGUUUGAAGCAUUGAGAAGACACAGAUAUAAAGACGCCUGCAGAUACAGCAUGCAAAACGAACUGAAUUUUGUCUGAAAAAUAGGUGCAAAGCUAAAACGUAGCACAAGACAUCACCAAAGACAAUUUUGCAAAGUACCUCUGCUGCAUUCAAUUCAACAAAGCUCAAGACAGUUCUGCUGAAAAUAAAAUUGUA